GGGGUGCCGCAGCAAGAGCGGCAUCCGGACGAGGGCGCAGUACCCGGAACGCGACAAGACUGACCAC
rnacentral:ncRNA from 1 species